rnacentral:rRNA from 1 species
AUUGAACGCUGGCGGCAGGCUUAACACAUGCAAGUCGAGCGGGGUGAUGGUGCUUGCACUAUCACUUAGCGGCGGACGGGUGAGUAAUGCUUAGGAAUCUGCCUAUUAGUGGGGGACAACAUCUCGAAAGGGAUGCUAAUACCGCAUACGUCCUACGGGAGAAAGCAGGGGAUCACUUGUGACCUUGCGCUAAUAGAUGAGCCUAAGUCGGAUUAGCUAGUUGGUGGGGUAAAGGCCUACCAAGGCGACGAUCUGUAGCGGGUCUGAGAGGAUGAUGCGCCACACUGGGACUGAGACACGGCCCAAACUCCUACGGGAGGCAGCAGUGGGGAAUAUUGGACAAUGGGGGGAACCCUGAUCCAGCCAUGCCGCGUGUGUGAAGAAGGCCUUAUGGUUGUAAAGCACUUUAAGCGAGGAGGAGGCUCUUUUGGUUAAUACCCAAGAUGAGUGGACGUUACUCGCAGAAUAAGCACCGGCUAACUCUGUGCCAGCCGCCGCCGUAA